ACCUUACCUACCCUUGACAUGUCUGGAAAGCCGAAGAGAUUUGGCCGUGCUCGCAAGAGAACCGGAACACAGGUGCUGCAUGGCUGUCGUCAGCUCGUGUCGUGAGAUGUUGGGUUAAGUCCCGCAACGAGCGCAACCCUUGUCAUUAGUUGCUACGCAAGAGCACUCUAAUGAAACUGCCGGUGACAAACCGGAGGAAGGUGGGGAUGACGUCCAGUCCUCAUGGCCCUUAUGGGUAGGGCUUCACACGUCAUACAAUGGUCGGGACAGAGGGUCGCCAACCCGCGAGGGGGAGCCAAUCUCACAAACCCGAUCGUACUCCGGAUCGCAGUCUGCAACUCGACUGCGUGAAGUCGGAAUCACUAGUAAUCGCGGAUCA
rnacentral:rRNA from 1 species